rnacentral:rRNA from 1 species
CAUGCUCCUUAUGACCUGGGCGUACACACGUGCUACAAUGGUUGGUACAACGAGUUGCGAGUCGGUGACGGCGAGCUAAUCUCCUUAAAGCCAAUCUCAGUUCGGAUUGUAGGCUGCAACUCGCCUACAUGAAGUCGGAAUCGCUAGUAAUCGCGGAUCAGCACGCCGCGGUGAAUACGUUCCCGGGCCUU